rnacentral:rRNA from 1 species
GCUACACAUGCAGUCGAACGGUCUAUGUAAAAGUAGAUAGUGGCGCACGGGUGAGUAACACGUAGCUUAUCUGCCUCAAAGUCUGGGAUAACGCAUCGAAAGGUGUGCUAAUACCGGAUAAGCUCACGACGAAUAGACAGUUGUGAGAAAAGCUCAGGCGCUUUGAGAUGAGGCUGCGGCCCAUCAGCUAGUUGGCGGUGUAACAGACCACCAAGGCGACGACGGGUAGGGGGCCUGAGAGGGUGAACCCCCACACUGGGACUGAGACACGGCCCAGACUCCUACGGGAGGCAGCAGUGAGGAAUAUUGCUCAAUGGGCGCAAGCCUGAAGCAGCGACGCCGCGUGGAUGACGAAGGCCUUCGGGUCGUAAAAUCCUUUUCUGUGUGACGAGAAUGGACGGUAGCACAGGAAUAAGUGUCGGCUAACUACGUGCCAGCAGCCGCGGUAAAACGUAGGACGCAAGCGUUAUCCGGAAUUACUGGGCGUAAAGCGCGUGUAGGUGGUUAUGUAAGUCAUUUGUGAAAGCUCCCGGCUAAACUGGGAGAGGUCAAGUGAGACUGCAUGGCUAGAGGGCAGGAGAGGGGUAUAGAAUUCCGGGUGUAGUGGUGAAAUGCGUAGAUAUCCGGAGGAAUACCAGAGGCGAAGGCGAUGCCCUGGCCUGUACCUGACACUGAGACGCGAAAGCAUGGGUAGCAAACGGGAUUAGAGACCCCGGUAGUCCAUGCCGUAAACGAUGCAUACUAGAUGUUCGUUACUCGAA